UUGCAGUCGAUUUUACACCACAUUACGCAUUACUCCGAGAAAGAUGCGUUCCAUUCUGGCUCUCUGCGUUUUUCUUCUCGCACUUCAGCAGGGACUGGCCUUAAAAUGUCACCAAUGCGGGCCGGGGCUAACACCGUCGAACUCGUGUCCCGAUCCGUUUAACAAAAACUUAGCAACAACGUGCGAUUUACCAAACGGUCGUUGCGUGAAGCUAGGCGUCAAAGGAUUUCUCACAAGUAGGAGUUGUUUGCCUGCCGACGUGUCAUGCGAAGACCUGAUAAACAACGGAAUUGAUAUCCCACCGGGAAUCGAAAUAGAGUGCAAAAUUUGUGACUCCGGCGACUUUUGCAACGCCGCACCACGAUUCACUGCAACCUGGAUCGCCCUUUUCGUCGGAGCUGCCGCCUUCAUCUUGAGCCAGUUUUAUUAAACGUAAAUUGAUUGUAACCCGAACCAAAUAAAGGGUAAACGUCCUCAAUA